CUAAAUUGUGGAAUAAGGAAGAAGAGGGGAAGUUGAUAAGGAAAGGGGAAAGUUCACAUAGCAACGUCAGCAAUUGGUCUUCUCCUAAGGUCGCUAAAUCCAUCACCACUUUAGCAGGGUUUUCUGGAUUUCAAACACUUGCAAAUUUCUAGCUUUCCAUAAUUUCCCAAAAAAGCCCCGCAAAUGAGCCUAUAGCUUCAUCUCUUUCACUGUCGGUGCAAGAGGCUUGAUACAGGAAGUUGAUCAACUGGGACAUGUGGGAAAUUAUAAGCAACCAGAUAACUCGAGACUACAUCAUACUGCUUUUUCGAAUUCAAGGCCCAAAUAGGAGCGUCAUUACCAUCAUCAUUCAGUUUGAGCUUCAGAGGAUCUAACUAUGUGUUUAGAUGAGUGCAAAAAACGCUUCACGGAAUAUUCGACAUCAUUGGACGCAUGCAAGAAGAGAUGUCACGAAAAGCACGCUAGACUAAACACCAAUACUGAGAAUAGGAAGAAGUGUAUUCAACAUUGCAGAGUAUUGUAUUCAGAUCCAGAGGAAUUUCAAAUUUGUAGACAAGACUGCCUUAGUCGGUUCCCGAAAACAUAUGCCGAAUCUAGAAGGGAGUGUAUCGACAAAUGUUUGUCACGCUAUUGGAACACUCAAACUAAGUUUUUAGAGUGCAGAAAGAAAUGCUAUGAUAAGUACCCGAUAACAUUAGAAUUUUAAGUGUGAAAAAGUUAUUUUGAAUCUUUUGAAAAUUUUAUGACAUUUUGAGUUUGUAUU